GCCAAGAUCAAAUUUUUGCUGAACUCCAAAGAUAACCUAUCAGCUGGUCUAUGAGAAUCACUGUUGAAAGGAUUAUUCAAAAAUAAUUCAAAGCAAAUAUAAAUCAGCAUUUUCAAGUCACAUGGCCAUAAGAAAAACGCCAGCUCACAUCCGACAGCCAUGCCAAGUAACUGAAAGAAAUUCAGGCCAAGCACCUUGAGGAUGGCUUCUCUCUGUUCCACUGUCUGGGGCCUUGGCUGGAAUGAUCUGAAGGCUCACCCACUCACACGGCUGACUGCUGAGGCUGACCAUCGGCUGAAGGCUUAGCUGUGGCCAGAAAACUGACAUCUGGCCUCUCCAUGUGUCCUGUGAAUCCUCAGAAUAUGGUGUAAGAUCCCAAGGACCAGGGUCCUAAAGAGAGGCAGCCAGGGAAACCUGGUAUCCUUCUCAUGCCCUAACCUUGGAAGUUAGGUAGUAUCUCUGCUGUUACAUAGUAUCAUUUGUUAGAAGUGAGUCUCUAAGUCCAACCCUCCAACCCACAUGUGAAGGGAAGGUUAGAUUCCAUUUUUUUGGAGAAAGGAGUAUCAAAGAAUCUGUGGACCUAUUUUGAAACCACCAUAAGCUUCGUAGGUACUUGGAUUAUAACAAAUAGGGGCAUUUAAAGGCUGCUUGCUUCCCACAUUCCCUUUUCCUCACUGUGACUAAGGUGUUGAAGCUCAAAGGAGUAGGGAUCAGAAGACAGCCUUAAGAGUUUUACUCUUAAGGUUCCAUUACCUCCCAGCCUGGUAUGUGACAGGAAUUCAUUCAGGCUCCAGCCAGCAGCACCCAAGGAUUCCCAGAGAGGAAGUAAAUAUGGUCCUAAGAAGACUAUGAUGUAAGGAAGGGAGGUUUUCACCUGUAAAUAGGGAGUGUUAAUAGGAAGCAUCAUUAGGCAGUCGACAUCUCUUUGGGAAGGUCCACAGAAACAUCAACAGAGGGGAGGGAGGACUGGACAAAAUCUAUCAGCAGGUGAGUGGGAAUCUCUCUAAUAUCACAAGUUUGACUCUGGCCUCUGGAAUAAACCAGCUAUUUAAAUUACAAGUGCCUUAACAGCUACUUAGCCUGUAUCAUCUGUAAAAUGGAUGAUAACAACGCCCACCUUGUAGGGUUUGCAUGAGGAUCAAGUUGAUAAUACAGGUAAUGCACAGUGCCUGGCACAAGGCACAUCAUCUGUGGCUGGUGCUUUCCUAUCACCAGCCUUUCCCCUCCUCAACCUCUAAAAAAAAUGACAGUUUCUUCCGCUUUCUGAAGCUGUGAGGGAUACUGGCCAGGGAAGUUUCUAUGAGCUUUUCCUCUGUGAGAGGAGAGAAGGACCCAGAGUGAAUUCAGAAGGAGAACCAGGGCUCAUGCUGAGGGAGAAGAUUUUCAGGGAAUUUUGAAAAAUUAAAUGCAAGAUAGCUCAGUUGUGUGAGCUGAGUAGAUGGGAGUGAAAAGCAGGAUUUUCUAAGAUAAACCCAUCAUGUGGUUCAAAAAUGCAAUUAUGAAUUUUAGUUCAUUUUUAAUCAACUUUUGGGUUUGGGGAAUAUUUCUUUGGUCUGGACACCGCUUGGACCAUGUAGAGACAGUUUAUGCUACCUAAUUUGUGUAUGUGAAUAUUUUUUAAACUAAGGCUCAGAAGUAUUGAUAUAGCAUACUUCCACUUGUAUAUGGUUUUGCAUAGAAUAUUUCUAGAAGAAACACAAACAGCCAUAAACAGUAGUUUUCUCUGGGCUGAGAGAGAGAUUAUUCUUGCAUCCCUUGGUUAUACAAAAUUUUUCUUCAACCUGGGUAUAUAGCAGUUUCUCAACCUGUUUUCUUUUUUAAUAGUCAUUUACUAACUACCAGUUAAAUAUCUGUGUUAGGAAUUUUAUAUGCAUUGUAUUUGAUCAUCACAACUUUUCAAAAUUGGUUUCAUUAUUUCCUAUUUUAUAGAUGAGCAAACUAAGUCUUAAAAGAUGAAGUGAAUGUUAAGGUUCUCCAGAGAAACAGACAGCGUCUAUGUGAGAGAGAGAGAGGGGAGAGAGGGAAGGGGAGAGAGGGAGAGAGAGAAAGAGAGUUGUUAUUGUUUCUCUUCUGAAGGGAGGGAUUGGAGUAGAUAGUAUUUUAGGUCCCUUCAAGCCAUGCAUGCUAAGAUUCAAUGCCAUUAAGAGGAAAUACAAAUUAAUACCAUAAUGAUAUGGUACUGCAUACCCAUUAGAAUGGCCAAACUUAAUAAGAUUGAAAAUAACCAAGCAUUGGAGAGGAUGUGGGAGAACUAGAACUCUCAGAAAUUGGCAAUGAGCAUGUAUAUUACCUACUACUAUAUAUGCAACUACUUGGAAAUUCAUGUGGAAGUACUACCAGAGCUAAAUAUAUUCCUACUCUAUCACCCAGCAAUUAUACUCCUGGGUAUAUCAGACUCCAGAAAAAGGAGUACAUUAUUGCAAAAAAGGCACAAAUAACAAUAUGCAUAGGAACUUUAUUUAUAUUUAUUUGUAAUAUCUGAAAACUGGAGACAACCCAGUAUUUAUCAGUAGAAUGGAUAAAUAUUGAGGGACACAUUUAUACAACGAAAUACUACACCACAAUAAAAAAAGAACUAACUACUGUUACAGGCAAUGUGGUCAAAUCUCAGCCAUUAUUGAGUGGGAAAAAUACAAGAUUCCAUUUAUACAAAGUUUAAGACACUUAAAACAUGUCUAGGGUGAUAGAAAUUGGGGAGUAUUGGUUGAGAAUGAGCACACAAGAGUCUUCUGGGGUACUGGAAAUGUUCUAUAUUUUGAGUUGGGUAGUGAUUACACAGGUACAUUUAUAUGCAAAAAUUCACCAAGAUUUGUGCAUUUUACUGUAUGUAUGCAUGUUAUAGCUCAACAAGAAAUUUUUUAAAAACCAUAUUAUUGAGUCAAAGAAGCCUCUUUAUUUUUUUUCCCCAAAUGCAAGGAGGUGAUUCGCAUGAAAGUCAGAACAUCGCUGCAUUUAGGGAGGAAGGAAGGGAACUAAAAGUAGGCAGGGGCAGGAGGAGGCUUCUGAGUGCAGAUGAUAUUCUGUGUCUUGACCUGGAGGUGGUUGAAUGGAUGGUCACUUACAGUGAUUCAUUAAACUCUCACAUAUAUGUUUUCUAUACCUGGAUGUAGAUGACUGUGUUUUACAAUUUAAAAAAUCUCAUCAAUCAAACAAGCAACUUAGUUGUUGCUCCCUUAAUGCAGCUGAAGAUUGGGGGCUCUGGGAAGGACCCCCAGGGAGUGUGGAUUCAGCUCAGAGGACCCCACCCCCUGCAGGAACCACCGCUUUCACCUGUCCCUUAGCCCCCACUAGGGCCCCUGGGAACUGUCCCUUCCUCAUUUCCGGGCUCCUGAC